CUAGAUUUACAGCAUCCUAGGGGGCUUAUCCUAAGACGAGGACAGGGCUUGUUCACACUCUGACAUCAACGUUUGAACGCAAGACUGCGAAUUCCAUCGAAGACUGCCCAAACAUCCUUCAGCCCUGUUAAGGUGCAUCUCGAGUUCAGCAAUACGUUUGCCAGCACACCCUCUGACUCCGAACCCGAAUGGGAUGGACCCGAAUGGGUUAGGCCUCACCCUACCAUCCCGGAACCAACGUUCAGGCUUAAAGGACCGUGGUUCAGGGAAGACCUUCUCAUCCUGACUGAUCGCGUAGUGGUAUAACACAAAUGUGGUUUGCUAGGACAACUGAAAUUCAAUUUACGUCAUUUUCCAUCAGCCAGGACAUAUUUUUUGUCUGAAGUUUUCUUCUUUGGUUUUGCACUGGAGCUCCAAGCCUAAUUACGCUAACAAGUAAUGGAUGCUUACAGCCCAGCUAGCAUCGUGAUCUCAAAUGCUUGAAUGUUGGCUGAUCGACUACAUUUGGAGCACGGGGAAAGGUACAUUUGUCUAUUUGCCUAUCAAAAACCUUGUUUUUUCUUUUUCUCCUUUUUACUCUACCUUAGAGUCUCCUUGAUGACGGAUUUAAGGUAGGGCAUGUUGUUUAUAUCUUCAGCUGUUGGAAUUCUGUCCCCCUUGAUGGUGCUGGCCACUUCCUGAUACAGUGUGUCCUGUUUUUCUGGAUCACGUGACAGCAGAUACAAGGCCCACAGCAUGGUGUUGGAGGUCUUAAUGCACAGUUACUGACUGUCCACCGGUCCGGCCCAAUACUGAUGGAUGUCCCACCCUCAAGUCCCCCUG